rnacentral:lncRNA from 1 species
AAUUAUAAGAAUAACAACAAAUGAAUCAAUAGUAAUUUGAAAAAUAAAAUAGAUGCAGUAAAUCUAAUAUGUUAAUUUUUGUUAUAGUAAUAGAUGGCGUUACCUUCAUUCAUAAGUCUUAGCUUAAUUUAUAAGUAUCGAUAUUAUUAGGAUGUAUAUCAUGUUUCGAGUUUGAGCUCAAAAUCUCACAGUUAUUCUUAAAUUUCUUUACCCUUUCAUCUAUAGACAAUAAAUAUAGAAUUGUCUUCAAAUUGAUUGGGUGAUGCUGGACAAGUGAACCCUUUUGCACCAUAUAUUCGUAGAAUGACAAUCGUAAAUUGCAUAUGUGCGAACCAUCAGAACUCAUUUCAAUGUUGAUGGAAAAUUUUAUUUUGAUCGGGUGAUUUAUUUUUUGAUAAUCAAACUCAGGGCAGGGACGAAGAAUAGGUUAAUCGAUAAAGGCUAUUAAUCUUGUUGUUAUGUCGAAAUUGUAUUGGGAGUUUUAUACUUCUCAUAAUAAUUAAGCUAUUUUAUUUUGAUCCAAAGUUGUUCAGAAAUGUUCUCCAAUCUCUUGUCUUAUACCUUCUUCUAUUUGGGCUAGUAUUAAAAGCUUGUGAUAUAUUGUGUUGGAUAAUUUUGAGUGUCAAUUUGGGGGUGAUAAAGAGGUGGAAUUUUGGAUUGACUUAUGGGUUGAUCAUCAUAUGGUUUCCCCUCGCGAUAUUCCUUAUAGUCUUCACGAUAAUAUUGAUGCUAAAGUUAGUGAUUUUAUCAAAUAUGAUAAGUGACUCCUUCCAGGUUUAUUUAUCCACAAGUAUCCAAACAUCCUUGAGAUUUUGAAGGAUGUAUGCAUUCCUCUUAACCAAAUCCUUGAUAAAAGAAGGUAGCUGCAUACAAAUUGAGGUUCGAUCACUCUUAAAGAAGUCUACUAAUUCCUCAAUUCAGAUGGUCUUGUUCUUAAUUGGGCCAAGCUAAUUUGGAACCAUUUCAUUCAUCCAUCUAGAUAUUUGAUUUGUUGGGAAAUGCUUCAUAAUUGUCUCCCUACCAAUGAUAAUCCCUAGAGUAAGGGGUUAUGUUACAGUACCUAUGUGUAAUCUUUGCUCUUCUGUUGCCGAGACAAACCAACAUUUAUUUUGUGGUCGUUUUUUUGUCUGCCAUGGCUGGUCUUGGAUGAGUUCCACUUUUCAUCACAUUAUUGACAUCGCAUUAGUGAGAUCUAUUUUAUCUAUAUGUAAAAAAAUGUGAGUGUCACAAGCAAAAAAUGUUAUCUCAUCGAUCAUUGUCAAUUCUUUUUAGAGCAUUUGACACUAUCAAAGCAAGCUUUUGUUUCAAUAAUAAUACUAUUUCCCUUUAGGCCACCUCUUACCUUAUAUUUGCGGACAUCUCUCUGAUUGAUCACCUAAGUAAAAGGGUGGCUUCAACCUUUAUUUAGGAAUUCACCGUCUUCAUUUUUUUCCCACGUUUAUGAUAAU